AUGAACGCUGGCGGCGUGCCUAAUACAUGCCAGUCGCGCGAACAGACGAGGAGCUUGCUCCUCUGACGUUAGCGGCGGCCGGGUGAGUAACACGUGGAUAACCUACCUAUAAGACUGGGAUAACUUCGGGAAACCGGAGCUAAUACCGGAUAAUAUAUUGAACCGCAUGGUUCAAUAGUGAAAGACGGUUUUGCUUUCACUUAUAGAUGGAUCCUCGCCGCAUUAGCUAGUUGGUAAGGUAACGGCUUACCAAGGCAACGAUGCGUAGACGACAUGAGAGGGUGAUCGGCCACACUGGAACUGAGACACGGUCCAGACUCCUACGGGAGGCAGCAGUAGGGAAUCUUACGCAAUGGGCGAAAGCCUGACGGAGCAACGCCGCGUGAGUGAUGAAGGUCUUCGGAUCGUAAAACUCUGUUAUUAGGGAAGAACAAAUGUGUAAGUAACUAUGCACGUCUUGACGGUACCUAAUCAGAAAGCCACGGCUAACUACGUG
rnacentral:rRNA from 1 species